UUUAUGGAGAGUUUGAUCCUGGCUCAGGAUGAACGCUGGCGGCGUGCCUAAUACAUGCAAGUCGAGCGAACGGACGAGAAGCUUGCUUCUCUGAUGUUAGCGGCGGACGGGUGAGUAACACGUGGAUAACCUACCUAUAAGACUGGGAUAACUUCGGGAAACCGGAGCUAAUACCGGAUAAUAUUUUGAACCGCAUGGUUCAAAAGUGAAAGACGGUCUUGCUGUCACUUAUAGAUGGAUCCGCGCUGCAUUAGCUAGUUGGUAAGGUAACGGCUUACCAAGGCAACGAUGCAUAGCCGACCUGAGAGGGUGAUCGGCCACACUGGAACUGAGACACGGUCCAGACUCCUACGGGAGGCAGCAGUAGGGAAUCUUCCGCAAUGGGCGAAAGCCUGACGGAGCAACGCCGCGUGAGUGAUGAAGGUCUUCGGAUCGUAAAACUCUGUUAUUAGGGAAGAACAUAUGUGUAAGUAACUGUGCACAUCUUGACGGUACCUAAUCAGAAAGCCACGGCUAACUACGUGCCAGCAGCCGCGGUAAUACGUAGGUGGCAAGCGUUAUCCGGAAUUAUUGGGCGUAAAGCGCGCGUAGGCGGUUUUUUAAGUCUGAUGUGAAAGCCCACGGCUCAACCGUGGAGGGUCAUUGGAAACUGGAAAACUUGAGUGCAGAAGAGGAAAGUGGAAUUCCAUGUGUAGCGGUGAAAUGCGCAGAGAUAUGGAGGAACACCAGUGGCGAAGGCGACUUUCUGGUCUGUAACUGACGCUGAUGUGCGAAAGCGUGGGGAUCAAACAGGAUUAGAUACCCUGGUAGUCCACGCCGUAAACGAUGAGUGCUAAGUGUUAGGGGGU
rnacentral:rRNA from 1 species